rnacentral:rRNA from 1 species
CGCCCAAACCCGACUCCGUGGAAGGGUUGUGUUUAUCAGAUACAGAACCAACCCAGGCUUUGCCUGGUACUGUGGUGAUUCAUAAUAANCGAACGAAUCGCAUGGCUUCAGCCGGCGAUGAAUCAUUCAAGUUUCUGACCUAUCAGCUUCCGACGGUAGGGUAUUGGCCUACCGUGGCAAUGACGGGUAACGGAGAAUUAGGGUUCGAUUCCGGAGAGGGAGCCUGAGAAACGGCUACCACAUCUAAGGAAGGCAGCAGGCGCGCAAAUUAGCAAGUCCUGACACAGGGAGGUAGUGACAAGAAAUAACAGUACAGGGCAUCCAUGUCUUGUAAUUGGAAUGAGUAGAAUUUAAAUCCCUUUUCGAGUAUCAAUUGGAGGGCAAGUCUGGUGCCAGCAGCCGGCGGUAAUUCCAGCUCCACAUAGCGUAGAUUAUCCGUUGUUGUGGUUAAUAAGCUCGUAUUUGGGAUUUCUGCCGAGGACGACCGGUCCCGCCCCUCUGGGAUGAGUANCCGGCCUGGACUGGGUAUCCUUCCUUGGGUAAGGUAGCUGCACUUGACUGUGUAGUACGGAAUCAAGGGCUUCACUUU